AGAGUUUGAUCAUGGCUCAGGACGAACGCUGGCGGCGUGCUUAACACAUGCAAGUCGAACGAGAAUCUGCGGAUCGAGGAUUCGUCCAAGUGAAGCAGAGGACAGUGGCGGACGGGUGAGUAACGCGUGAGGAACCUGCCUUUCAGAGGGGGACAACAGUUGGAAACGACUGCUAAUACCGCAUGAUACGUAUUGGGGGCAUCCCUGAGACGUCAAAGAUUUAUCGCUGAAAGAUGGCCUCGCGUCUGAUUAGCUGGUUGGUGAGGUAACGGCCCACCAAGGCGACGAUCAGUAGCCGGACUGAGAGGUUGACCGGCCACAUUGGGACUGAGAUACGGCCCAGACUCCUACGGGAGGCAGCAGUGGGGAAUAUUGGGCAAUGGGCGCAAGCCUGACCCAGCAACGCCGCGUGAAGGAAGAAGGCUUUCGGGUUGUAAACUUCUUUUAAGAGGGAAGAGCAGAAGACUGUACCUCUAGAAUAAGCCACGGCUAACUACGUGCCAGCAGCCGCGGUAAUACGUAGGUGGCAAGCGUUGUCCGGAUUUACUGGGUGUAAAGGGCGUGCAGCCGGGAAUGCAAGUCAGAUGUGAAAUCCAUGGGCUUAACCCAUGAACUGCAUUUGAAACUGUAUUUCUUGAGUACUGGAGAGGCAAUCGGAAUUCCUAGUGUAGCGGUGAAAUGCGUAGAUAUUAGGAGGAACACCAGUGGCGAAGGCGGAUUGCUGGACAGCAACUGACGGUGAGGCGCGAAAGUGUGGGGAGCAAACAGGAUUAGAUACCCUGGUAGUCCACACUGUAAACGGUGAAUACUAGGUGUGCGGGGACUGACCCCCUGCGUGCCGCAGUUAACACAAUAAGUAUUCCACCUGGGGAGUACGAUCGCAAGGUUGAAACUCAAAGGAAUUGACGGGGGCCCGCACAAGCGGUGGAUUAUGUGGUUUAAUUCGAAGCAACGCGAAGAACCUUACCAAGUCUUGACAUCCCUUGACAGGCAUAGAAAUAUGUUUUCUCUUCGGAGCAAGGAGACAGGUGGUGCAUGGUUGUCGUCAGCUCGUGUCGUGAGAUGUUGGGUUAAGUCCCGCAACGAGCGCAACCCUUAUGGUUAGUUACUACGCAAGAGGACUCUGGCCAGACUGCCGUUGACAAAACGGAGGAAGGUGGGGAUGACGUCAAAUCAUCAUGCCCUUUAUGACUUGGGCUACACACGUACUACAAUGGCGUUAAACAAAGAGAAGCGAGACCGCGAGGUGGAGCAAAACUCAGAAACAACGUCCCAGUUCGGACUGCAGGCUGCAACUCGCCUGCACGAAGUCGGAAUUGCUAGUAAUCGUGGACCAGCAUGCCACGGUGAAUACGUUCCCGGGCCUUGUACACACCGCCCGUCACACCAUGAGAGCCGGGGGGACCCGAAGUCGGUAGUCUAACCGCAAGGAGGACGCCGCCGAAGGUAAAACUGGUGAUUGGGGUGAAGUCGUAACAAGGUA
rnacentral:rRNA from 1 species